rnacentral:rRNA from 1 species
AAGUCGUAACAAGGUUUCCGUAGGUGAACCUGCGGAAGAAUCAUUACCGAGUGCGGGCCCUCUGGGUCCAACCUCCCACCCGUGUUUAUCGUACCUUGUUGCUUCGGCGGGCCCGCCGUCAGGCCGCCGGGGGCUCUAUGCCCCGGGCCCGCGCCCGCCGAGGACACCAUUGAACGCUGUCUGAAGAUUGCAGUCUGAGCGAUUAGCGAAAUUAGUUAAAACUUUCAACAACGGAUCUCUUGGUUCCGGCAUCGAUGAAGAACGCAGCGAAAUGCGAUAAGUAAUGUGAAUUGCAGAAUUCAGUGAAUCAUCGAGUCUUUGAACGCACAUUGCGCCCCCUGGUAUUCCGGGGGGCAUGCCUGUCCGAGCGUCAUUGCUGCCCUCAAGCACGGCUUGUUGUUGGGUCGACGUCCCCCCGGGGACGGGCCCGAAAGGCAGCGGCGGCAUCGCGUCCGGUCCUCGAGCGUAUGGGGCUUCGUCACCCGCUCUUGUAGGCCCGGCCGGCGCCCGCCGACCCCCAACCAAUUUUCUCAGGUUGACCUCGGAUCAGGUAGGGAUACCCGCUGAACUUAA